AUUGAACGCUGGCGGCAGGCUUAACACAUGCAAGUCGAACGAGUGGGGACGGGUGAGUAACACGUGGGUAACCUCCCCUUCGGAGGGGAUAACACUUGGAAACAGGUGCUAAACCGAUACUGAUGGAUGGCCCCUCGGUGCAUUAGCUAGUUGGUGGGGUAACGGCACACCAAGGUCACGAUGCGUAGCUGACCUGAGAGGGUGAUCAGCCACACUGGGACUAAGACACGGCCCAGACUCGUGCGGAAGGCAGCAGUAGGGAAUUUUGGGCAAUGGACGAAAGGCUGACCGAGCAACGCCGCGUGAUUGAAGAAGGUUUUCGGAUCGUAAAACUCUGUUGGUAGAAAAGCGGUAUCUAACCAGAAAGCAACGGCUAACUACGUGGCAGCAGCCGCGGUAAUUC
rnacentral:rRNA from 1 species